AUUUGUUGUCCUGCUCCAGCUGUCGUGCCCAAGGGCACUAGCCAAAAUUUUGUAUCUCUGUGUACCCAGAUUUUGUAUUUCUCAUACUGUUACCUAGAUAAUCUCAGCUUCAUAUGGUAUUAGAGUUGUGAUUACCUCGGCAUUGUUGGCAUUUCAAGACUCUGCAUCCCCAAUAUUUGCCUCUGGUUAUCUAGGAAGUUCAGCCUUUUCUCACAUAACUCCCCCAUAACCACCUGUGAGAUCCAGCCAUUCCUGCCAACACUAUCCCUUCUGUCAGCUUCUCGUACUGUUACCUGUCCAGUUCAGCCAUUUCUCUUGUCAUGCCCAGUGCUUUUCCAUGUCCUGUUCAGUUAGCUUACCCUCAGGCCAGGGCACGGAUAGCAGCCUAUUAUUUGUGUGUGGCUCCAAAAAAUAAGCAGAGGCCAAUGAUGUGGGAUGUUUGAUACAGUUGGGGUUUGGGUUUGGUUGGGGGUUUUUUUGGUUUUGUUUGUUUGUUUGUUUGUUUUAAUUGCAAAUGCACUGGCAUUCACCUUUUUUGUCAUCUGCAUAAAAAGAAAUAAAGAAGCUGAAUUUAUUUGCACAGUUUUAUAUCCUAAUGAAACUGGGAGAAUUGCAACAAUUUGAGUGCUGCAAGGUCUAUUGUGGCCACGAGCUGUCUAAAGAAUACAUCUGGGUUCAAAUUAUUGUUUACAGUCUAAAGGGACAUGCCUUGCCUUUGAUAGUUAAGGACGCAGAGUUACAUCUUUACUUCCCACUGCCUUGUCUCUGUCAAAAUCUUUUAAUUCUUAUGCUGCUUUAUUAUUUGUGGCUUCUGGUUUUUUUAGGUUUUUUUUCUGAGCUUUUUCCUUUUAUAAAACAUCAAAUGUAUCAAAUGUGGUUUAAAAAAACAAUAUUCUUUGCAAUGGUUUCAGUUGUAAGAGUUUCUCUUUGCUUAUGUUGCGUAGCAGAAUGGCAUCCUCCAGGAUGUUGCCUGACACAGCAGCAGCCUGGACCAGACUUGACAUGGAAAAGACAGCUCUUUUGCAACACCAUUACUGAUUCAUUGUGGAAAUCAAGAUGAGCAGAAACUGGCAACCUCUCCCCAACGUGUGGGAUAUCCAGACCCAGCUAUAUAUGAAUCCUUGUGGCUGUUCUAGGCACUGGUCCUCAAAAGCAUUGCUAGCAUGGGAUUUUCAAACUCUGGUUGUAUAUGUUCAUAAUGUUGCAAAUUAGAGAUGCUAGAACAGAAGCAAGCAGUAAGUUGCAUGUUAUUCUACAUGGUGUCCAUGAUAUAGGAGUUGCCACCUUUCAUUUUCUCUUCUCUCGCAGGCUCUCGUUUACACUGAUUCUAGUCUUCCUCUCUUAACAUCGAGUUAGUUUCCUGUAUGUAUUAGUAAUUUUAAAGGCACAUUGACUGAAAGUAAGCACAUCUCUAGAGAUUUCUUUCAUUGUAGAACAGUGACAGCUAUUAUUUCUUAGAGUUGCCACUUAAUACCAUGUGGCAUUUCAGAGAAGAGGUAAUUAAGCCCAUGGUAACUAUGUGUUAUCUUAUGGCUUUGCUAUCACAUCGCAGUACAGCAAUGGAUGAUGAUGGAGUUAAGUGUGGUGCAGACAUCUGCUGUGAUAUGUGACUUGCUCCUCUUGGUUGCAGCUUCUAGAGCAGCCCAGGUCAUGUCAUCACCUGGUGGCCAUUGGGCAAAUGAACAAGGUAGGUUUUUCUAAUUAGCUGUGUUGCCUUAACCAAAGCCAGUUUGAUUUGGCAGGUAGCUUUUCCAAAUGGAGACCAAGGCCUGCAUGGCUCUGGGGGCUGACCAGGUUCAGGGUCUGGAGGACACUGGGGGCCGGUGCUGAAGCAGGUCAGCACGCCUGCGGCAGAGACGCCUUUGCCUGCUGAGCUGUACCAGCCUCUCUUUGUGCCCGGACAGCCUGAAUCUCCAGCAUUUCUGUAAGCAUUUAACUUCACUGAAAGGAAAAGGGAUGAAUAGCAGAGUGUAUGCUGUAAUCUUUGCCACUGUUUAUAUUUUGGAAACUUUAGUGGUCCAAGAACAUUUUUAGUCUUCUUAUUUAGAUCUAUGACUCCUACUUGUUACAGUGCUGAUGUCUGCAAGAAAAAUAGCCGUCGCAUUUAGCAGCAUUAUGCAUGGUCCAGUUUUAUUGGAGUAAGGGCAACACUUUAAAAGUUUUCUAACUUGGAUGAGGCAGUAGUAUAUCUUUCGCAAAUCAAUCAAAAUGAUCAAACAAACAGUACAUACAAAUUUAGAACAGACAUCUCUCUGUGCAGCCAACAUGACCUAUGCUCUCUGGUUCCUAAACUGUAAGCUGCUGCUUCUGCUGAGUCUUGCCAGUCUUUCUCACUCAAGCCACAAGGUCUGGAGAAACAGCUGAAGUGGAAAACUAAGAGAAUGAGCAUCUGAAUUAGGAAGAGAGAAGAGAACUUUGUCUUCCCCAAAAAGCGUUUCCACAUAGAAGGAAACUGUCCUCACCUUGAAGCCCUGCAGCCAUGCUUCAGCAGCGAUGAGGGCUUGAAAGAAGGGAGGAAAGAGAAGUCUUUUCCAUUCUCCUCUCAGUGCAAUGAAAGGUGGCAGUGCUCUUCUCUCUCCCUCAAUGGGGGAGGCAACCACAAUCAGUCUUUUGCAUGAAGCCACAGUGGAAGAGGAACUGUAGAGGUUGUUCUUCACCUGCUAGGCAAGAAGAGCUACCAAAAAUGUCUGGAAAACAUCUCAUCCACUGAAAGACUAAAGAAUUUCCACCUCCUGAGCUCCUUACAGCUGAGUCUGAAGGUGGAUCAGAUCACACAGCUCUGCGGGAACUGACUAAACAUAAACUGCAGUAUUAUCAUUAAGACCUGAUUUACAAAGGUAGUUACCGAUCUCCUUGUAUUGAGCACUUGCCAGAGAAAUAUGGAGAAUGCACAUGAAGAAUCGGCAUGUCUCACAGCCGCGAUGGGAAAGCUUUAACACAAGUUCACUUUAAACCUCCUCGCUAAGCACAUACUGAUAUAAACGUAUGAAUAAUGAUUGGGAGAGGCAGCAGCCUUCUUAUUAAUGAGCUUAUGGGAUGCCUUCCCAUCAUUAGCAUGUCCCUGCUGAUGGAUGCCAGGGCGGGAGAAGGGGACGUAGCCCUGUCCCCAUGCAGGAGCACAGCCACUCCCUAGCUGUGGCUGGGAGGGAGCGGGAGGGCGCUGGGGCCAGGUUAGAGACAUCCAUACCUGAACAGACGGGGCUCAGAAAAGAUGGUCAAAUGCAAGUACAGUUGCUGUAAGCCUAAGUCACGGGUGCCUGCAGGAAGUCAGUGAAAACGCAGAGUUACUUGUGGAUAUAGACUGGCUUAAAACAGACGGUAAAACCUCAACCACAAUAAUACCGUGGGAACGCCACAGCACCACUUCGAUACAAAUGCGAGGAAAGGCAAAUGGUUAGCACACCAAAAAGCAGUGUCUUAAAAUUAAGAAAGGUAUUGGUAAAAAUAAGGAAAAUUAUAUUGAGUUCAAUAUGUGCAGCA